rnacentral:rRNA from 1 species
GACGAACGCUGGCGGCGUGCCUAAUACAUGCAAGUCGAGCGAGAGCACCCGGUGCUUGCACUGGUCAAUCUAGUGGCGAACGGGUGAGUAACACGUGGGUAACCUGCCCAUCAGAGGGGGAUAACAUCCGGAAACGGAUGCUAAAACCGCAUAGGUCUUCGAACCGCAUGGUUUGAAGAGGAAAAGAGGCGCAAGCUUCUGCUGAUGGAUGGACCCGCGGUGCAUUAGCUAGUUGGUGAGGUAACGGCUCACCAAGGCCGUGAUGCAUAGCCGACCUGAGAGGGUGAUCGGCCACAUUGGGACUGAGACACGGCCCAAACUCCUACGGGAGGCAGCAGUAGGGAAUCUUCCGCAAUGGACGCAAGUCUGACGGAGCAACGCCGCGUGAGUGAAGAAGGUUUUCGGAUCGUAAAACUCUGUUGUUAGAGAAGAACAAGUGCUAGAGUAACUGUUAGCGCCUUGACGGUAUCUAACCAGAAAGCCACGGCUAACUACGUG